CUACGGGCGGCAGCAGUGGGGAAUAUUGGACAAUGGGCGAAAGCCUGAUCCAGCAAUGCCGCGUGAGUGAUGAAGGCCUUAGGGUUGUAAAGCUCUUUUACCCGGGAUGAUAAUGACAGUACCGGGAGAAUAAGCUCCGGCUAACUCCGUGCCAGCAGCCGCGGGUAAUACGGAGGGAGCUAGCGUUGUUCGGAAUUACUGGGCGUAAAGCGCACGUAGGCGGCUUUGUAAGUUAGAGGUGAAAGCCUGGAGCUCAACUCCAGAAUUGCCUUUAAGACUGCAUCGCUCGAAUCCAGGAGAGGUCAGUGGAAUUCCGAGUGUAGAGGUGAAAUUCGUAGAUAUUCGGAAGAACACCAGUGGCGAAGGCGGCUGACUGGACUGGUAUUGACGCUGAGGUGCGAAAGCGUGGGGAGCAAACAGGAUUAGAUACCCGCGUAGUC
rnacentral:rRNA from 1 species